rnacentral:lncRNA from 1 species
UACAAUGCUCACUUUUCUAUAAGGAAGAAGGUACACCAAGUUAUACAUUCAUAUCAUUGAUUAAAAUCAUUAAAAUGCUAUGGAAAAGUCAUGAAAAAAAAUUGUACUACACAAAUUAUGCACUAUGUAGUGAAUUUAGUACUUGUUUUUUCAACACUUUCCAAUAUUGACUCGUGCCCAAAAAAUUCAGAAUUUGAUCCAUGAGUUUACACCAUU